rnacentral:tRNA from 4 species
GCCGAGGUAGCUCAAUUGGUAGAGCACAGCACUGAAAAUGCUGGGGUUCCCAGUUCAAGUCUGGGCUUCGGCA